AAGACUAUGCUUUCAGGGAUCAUUUCUAUAGUUUCUGACUUGGAAGUUUGAUUUGAAAGUGGUAACGUCUCUCUAACCACGAUGACGAGUUAAGAUGCUUUCUUCUGAGCGUGAAUCGGGUGGUGAGCGACGAGCAAGAUUGUCUGCUCUCUGUCGUUGAUGAACGUUCCUGCUGUGCUUUGCAGUCUGGAAGAAGAAAGCAUGUUCAGAGUGGUU
ensembl:snoRNA ACEA small nucleolar RNA U3